ensembl:lncRNA
CUUCCAUUGCAGUGUUGAAAAGGAGUGGUAAGAGGACAUCUUGUCUUAUUCCUGGUAUUACUAGGAAGUCUUCCAAUCUCUCACUGUUGAAUAUGAUGCUGGCAAUUGGGUCUGUAUAGAUAUUUUUUAAUCAAGUUGAAGUUCCCCUCUUUAUAGUUUACUGAGAAUUUUGAUCAUCACUGAGUAUUGGAUUGUGUCACUUGCUUGUUCUGAGCCUAUUGAUAUGAUAAUGUGAUUGUCCUUUUUCAGACUUCCAUGUGAUGAAUUUCAUUAAUUUUCAAACUAGCUUUCCAGACCUAAGUUAAAUCCCAAUUGGUUUUAAUGUAUAAUUCUUUAUACAUUGUAGGAUUCAAUUUACUGAUAUUUUGUUGAGGAUUUUUGCAUCUAUGUUCAUGAGAAAUAUUGCUCUGUAGUUCUUUUAUGUCUUUGCGUGGCUUGGUAAUAGGGUAAUGCUAGUCUGAAAUAAUUAAAGAGUAUUCCUCCUGCUUCUGUUGUCUGAAAGAGGUUGUAGAGAAUUGGUACAAUUUCUUUCUUAAAUGUGUGGUAGAAUCACCAGUGAACCAUCAUACUACCAAGCCUGGUGCUUUCUGUUUUAGAAAGUUAAUUAUUGAUUCAAUUUAUUUAAUAGCUAUAGACCCAGUCACAUUUUCUGUCUCUUAUGAGAGUUUUGACAGAUUAUAUCAUUCAAGGAAUUUGCUCUUUUCAUUUAGGUUAUCAAAUAUCUUUUGGCUGUUAGGAUUUAUAGCUGUGACAUCCAUCAUGAUGAUUCAAAGAGCCUAAUCAUCCAAUAAAACAUGCAGAAAAGUUUACAUGGAUGAUGUUUAUCUGAAUUAUUUGCUCAAGAGACAGAUAACUGUUUGGGACCUUGGAGGUAGAGCAAUGGAGGAAUUCACUUCUCACAGUGGUAUUAACUGUAAUACGGUUGUAUUGACUGCAGAAUGAGCCGAUAGCAAGGAAGCAGCCCAUCAGUAAGUGAAAGACUGAGCAAAAAGAGCACAUUAGUUCGCUAGUACAGUGAGCACACAAGAGAAGAGCAAAUCCACAAAUGCAG